CCGGAUACACGUGACCUCCACAGUAGCCAGAAACACGUGAUCUCCACAGUAGCCAGAAACACGCAUGGAUACCGUGGAAGACUUGCAAGUGGAUCGCAAAGAUGCACAUAUCAAUCUGGCAUUCAGGCUUAAAGCCAGAAUUGCAGGAAUGCAACACGUGUUGCAGGGGGACUCUUUCACUGCCCUCUGUGCCCCACUUUCAGCCCUACUGUCAGGGCAAAGAUUGAGGAGCAUCUAAAUGUGCAUAUAAAAAAUCCUUUGCCUUUCAAAGACAAAAUGAUAUGCCGGUGCACUUUCACUGCCCUGUCUGUAACAUGACAGUCAUACAGUGUGGGGAUAUGGCAAGGCAAUUAUUGUCAUGUCAGCGUUCAGGACUGCUCCCCGCUGCACUCUCCGUGGAGCCCCAUCUCCCUCUCGAUGUCUUGUCUCCAGCAUCUAAACCAUUUUCUGAAUCUUCAGUAGAA